GCAUGUCUAGAAAUUGUGAUAUUUUGGCCCAUAAAUGUGGUUAAUAUUUCGUAAGACAGCACCAGCAUUCUGGUGUCCAUGUAGAGGUUCCUAGGGAGACCAAGAAGCAGAUAAACUGAGAAGGUGUGGGGACAGUUUGUAACCUAGUAGGCAGUUGUCUAGCCUCUGGGUGGCAGGUGGUACCCAGGUGACUUUCACUUUGAAGAAUGGUUUGCAUACAGAAGGAGGAUAUGAACUGGUCCUUGUUACAAACAUGGUUGAGCAGGCCCUGUGUGUUAAUGACCACGGGUGAAGGGCAAAGGGUGUGAUGAAGUUAACUGUGUAUCUUUAUUAUAGCACAGGAGAUAGGUCCUUUACAGGGCCCAAAGUAAACAGUCUCCUGGACUGUCUAGGGAUGGCAAUAUUUCAAAGGUGCCCUGGGCCUAACCCUGGCCCUGACAUAUGUUCCUCAUAUAUCUGUGUGAGCCAAGAUAGAAACAAAGACACCAGAAGUCCUGCUCCAGAGUUUCCACAAGCUUAAAAGUAAUCUCUUGGAGCAAUCUUUGUCCAUUGAUCCUAAUGGUGGUUUCCUGUCAUCAAGGUCCCCCUCUCCAUUUGGAAAUCUCACAAGGAGGUUUUGGCUAUUUAAAACCAGGAACCCCAGCCUCUGCCUGACAUUGAUGCUAGACAUUGCCUACUGGCAAAUCAAGGCCUCAGAAGCUUAGGAUUCUUGAGGUGGAAGGCAAAUCAAGGCCCCAGAAGCUUAGGAUUCUUGAGGAGGAAAUCUCCCAAGGCCAGGCUAAAUGCUCUCAGACCUGAUUUUCAGGUCUCCUUGACCACGUGUUGUCCUGCAGUCCUGGCUUCCUAUUAUAGGAGACACAAGGAUUUGGAAACCAAGAUUGAGGUUUUUUAUUCUUCAGAGCUGUUUCAUGCACAAGUGGUUGGCUUUCAUUGGCUGUAAGGACCAGGCCCAUCUGAGCAGUGUGUUUAGACUUCAGAGGCACUUCUGUGACCAACACUGUGGGCCUGGCCCGAUCUACCAUGACUGGGUUGGGCCCCAGUGGGCAAGACACUUGAUGAUGCCUCGAUAUAGCACCUUAGGACACCUACCUUUGGGCCAAAGACAACCACAGAAGGCUUUUAGGAAUUCUGUACUCCAACUCGAUUUCUCUUGAAAAUCAUCACUCAAGCUUUGGUAUGAGAGCUAACAAAUAGGUAACUCAAAUUCUACAUGCCUGAAACGAAACUUACCAUCUAUCCGCAACCCUGAAGCUCCAACCCAUAUCCCCAUCACUGUAAAAAGUAUUAUCAUUCACCCAGGGACCCAAACUAGAACCCUGGGUGUCAUCCCAUGAGCUGAGUGACCAUGGACAAGUUACUUAGCCUCUCUGUGCAUAGCUUCCUUAUUUGGAAAAUGGGGAUAAUAAUAUACUUGAAUUGUAGAGUUGUUGUGAGGAUUGGAUGAGAUAAAAUACAUAAAGCACUUAGAAUGGUGCCUGACACAUUGUAAGUAUUAUAGGUGUUUUCUAGUAUUGUGUUUACUAUCCUUGUUUCCUCUCAGUUCAUCCCCUGUAUCCAUUAAUGUUAAGGCCUGCCACGUUUGCCC
rnacentral:lncRNA from 10 species